UACGAAGGGGGCUAGCGUUGUUCGGAAUUACUGGGCGUAAAGGGCUCGUAGGCGGCCAACUAAGUCAGACGUGAAAUCCCUCAGCUUAACUGGGGAACUGCGUCUGAUACUGGAUGGCUUGGAUUCGGGAGAGGAAUGCGGAAUUCCAGGUGUAGCGGUGAAAUGCGUAGAUAUCUGGAGGAACACCGGUGGCGAAGGCGGCAUUCUGGAUCGAUAUUGACGCUGAGGAGCGAAAGCCAGGGGAGCAAACGGG
rnacentral:rRNA from 1 species